AUUGAACGCUGGCGGCAGGCCUAACACAUGCAAGUCGAGCGAGCGGCGGACGGGUGAGUAAUGUCUGGGAAACUGCCUGAUGGAGGGGGAUAACUACUGGAAACGGUAGCUAAUACCGCAUACCAUCAGAUGUGCCCAGAUGGGAUUAGCUAGUAGGUGGGGUAACGGCUCACAUAGGCGACGAUCCCUAGCUGGUCUGAUAGGAUGACCAGACACACUGGAACUGGGACACGGUCCAGACGCCUACGGGCGUCAGCAGUGGGGAAUAUUGCACAAGGUGCGCAAGCCUGAUGCAGCCAUGCCGCGUGUGGGAAGAAGGCCUUCGGGUUGUAAAGCACUUUCAGCGGGGAGGCGUUACCCGCAGAAGAAGCACCGGCUAACUCCGUGCCAGCAGCCGCGGUAAUUC
rnacentral:rRNA from 1 species